UUGCAGAAUUCAGUGAAUCAUCGAAUCUUUGAACGCACAUUGCGCCCGCCAGUAUUCUGGCUGGCAUGCCUGUUCGAGCGUCAUUU
rnacentral:rRNA from 1 species